rnacentral:tRNA from 1 species
GCAGGUGUAGCUCAGUGGUAGAGUGCAUGCAUGAGGUCUUGGGUUCAAUCCCCAGCACUUCCC